rnacentral:rRNA from 1 species
GACGAACGCUGGCGGCGUGCCUAAUACAUGCAAGUUGAGCGCUGAAGGUUGGUACUUGUACCAACUGGAUGAGCAGCGAACGGGUGAGUAACGCGUGGGUAAUCUGCCUUUGAGCGGGGGACAACAUUUGGAAACGAAUGCUAAUACCGCAUAAAAACUUUAAACACAAGUUUUAAGUUUGAAAGAUGCAAUUGCAUCACUCAAAGAUGAUCCCGCGUUGUAUUAGCUAGUUGGUGAGGUAAAGGCUCACCAAGGCGAUGAUACAUAGCCGACCUGAGAGGGUGAUCGGCCACAUUGGGACUGAGACACGGACCAAACUCCUACGGGAGGCAGCAGUAGGGAAUCUUCGGCAAUGGACGAAAGUCUGAACGAGAAACGCCGCGGGAGUGAAGAAGGUUUUCGGAUCGUAAAACUCUGUUGGUAGAGAAGAACGUUGGUGAGAGUGGAAAGCUCAUCAAGUGACGGUAACUACCCAGAAAGGGACGGCUAACUACGUG